GUAGUCUCGCACAGAUGCAUAUCAAUAAGCGGAGGAAAAGAAACUAACAAGGAUUCCCCUAGUAACGGCGAGUGAAGCGGGAAGAGCUCAAAUUUGAAAUCUUAAAGGGUUUCCCUUUACGAAUUGUAGUUUAAAGAAGUGUUUUCUGUUGAGGUUUUGGUAAAAGUUCUUUGGAAUAGGACAUCAUAGAGGGUGAGAAUCCCGUAUUUGACCUUUACUUUCAACUUUGUGAUACUACUUUCAAAGAGUCGGAUUGUUUGGGAAUGCAGUCCAAAAUGGGUGGUAAAUUUCAUCUAAAGCUAAAUAUUGGCGAGAGACCGAUAGCGAACAAGUACCGUGAGGGAAAGAUGAAAAGAACUUUGAAAAGAGAGUUAAACAGUACGUGAAAUUGUCAAAAGGGAAGCGUUUGACACCAGUGUUGUUUUUCUGAAAAUCAAUUAAAGAACUGUUUAUGCUAAGUUGUUUAGACUUUAUCAGCUAUCUGUUUAGUUUUGAGCUUUUCUUUAAUGCACUUUUCAGUUAACAAGUCAACAUCAAUUUCUUUUGCUGUAAAAAAGCUUGAGGAAGGUGGCUUGAGAUUCGUCUUAAGUGUUUAUAGCCUCUUGCCUAUGCAGUCGGAGAGAUUGAGGUCUGCAGCGUAGAUCCUUCGGGGCUAAAUGCAUUUGUGCUAAGUUAUAGCAUUUUAUAGACAACUUGUUGACUAUGAUUUGUCUUGUAGCUUACUCGCUUAUGUUAUUUUACCUACGCUUAGGAUGUUGACGCGCGUGUGUGCGUG
rnacentral:rRNA from 1 species